GCAGAGAGCAGCCUGCAUCUAUUUAUGACCUUUAGGAAACUUUGCAAAGACAGAAACAGCAGAGAGAUGAGGAACAGAGAGUCUAAAGUUUCUACAUGUUCUUAGUCAGUCCACAGGGAGACGGAGCCUCUACCUACUCCACCUCAUCUCUCCCUUUCAGUUUCACAAGAACAGAGACUUCUGCAAACAAGUUUCUGACUCAGGCUGACAAAUCCAUGUCUGUUAGUGUUGGAGGGACCGUGAGCAUCAGCGCCACAGGGAGUUCAGAUAUUGAUGAUGAUCUCAGUUGGUACCUUCAGAAACCUGGACAGGCUCCCAAACUCCUUAUAUACCAAGCAUCAACUCUCUUCUCAGGGACUGCGUCUCGAUUCAGUGGCAGUAGAUCUGGUUCUCACUACACUUUAACCAUCACAGGUGUUCAGACUGACGAUGCUGGAGAUUACUUCUGUCUGGGCUACCAUGGUAGCUAUGUGUUCACACAGUGA